rnacentral:rRNA from 1 species
AUUGAACGCUGGCGGCAGGCCUAACACAUGCAAGUCGAGCGAGCGGAGGACGGGUGAGUCAUGUCUGGGAAACUGCCUGAUGGAGGGGGAUAACUAUUGGAAACGGUAGCUAAUACCGCAUACCAUCAGAUGUGGCCAGAUGGGAUUAGCUGGUAGGAGGGGUAAUGGCUCACCUGGGCGACGGACCCUACCUGGUCUGAAAGGAUGACCGGCCACACUGGAACGGGGCAACGGUCCAGACUCCUACGGGAGGCAGCAGUGGGGAAUAUUGGAAAAUGGGCGCAAGCCUGAUGCAGCCAUGCCGGGUAUGUGAAGAAGGCCUUGGGGUUGUAAAGCACUUUCUGCGAGGAGGCGGUACUCGCAGAAGAAGCACCGGCUAACUCCGUGCCAGCCGCCGCGGUAAUUC